rnacentral:rRNA from 1 species
AUUGAACGCUGGCGGCAUGCCUUACACAUGCAAGUCGAACGGUAACAGGUCUUCGGAUGCUGACGAGUGGCGAACGGGUGAGUAAUACAUCGGAACGUGCCCGAUCGUGGGGGAUAACGGAGCGAAAGCUUUGCUAAUACCGCAUACGAUCUACGGAUGAAAGCAGGGACCGGCAGGCCUUUCGCGGAACGAGCGGCCGAUGGCAGAUUAGGUAGUUGGUGGGAUAAAAGCUUACCAAGCCGACGAUCUGUAGCCGGUCUGAGAGGACGACCAGCCACACUGGGACUGAGACACGGCCCAGACUCCUACGGGAGGAAGCAGUGGGGAAUUUUGGACAAUGGGCGAAAGCCUGAUCCAGCCAUGCCGCGUGCAGGAUGAAGGCCUUCGGGUUGUAAACUGCUUUUGUACGGAACGAAAAGACUCUUUCUAAUAAAGAGGGUCCAUGACGGUACCGUAAGAAUAAGCACCGGCUAACUACGUG